rnacentral:rRNA from 1 species
GACGAACGCUGGCGGCGUGCCUAAUACAUGCAAGUAGAACGCACAGUUUAUACCGUAGCUUGCUACACCAUAGACUGUGAGUUGCGAACGGGUGAGUAACGCGUAGGUAACCUGCCUGGUAGCGGGGGAUAACUAUUGGAAACGAUAGCUAAUACCGCAUAAUAUUGAUUAUUGCAUGAUAAUUGAUUGAAAGAUGCUAUUGCAUCACUACCAGAUGGACCUGCGUUGUAUUAGCUAGUAGGUGAGGUAACGGCUCACCUAGGCGACGAUACAUAGCCGACCUGAGAGGGCGACCAGCCACACUGGGACUGAGACACGGCCCAGACUCCUAAGGGAGGCAGCAGUAGGGAAUGUUGGACAAUGGGGGAAAGCCUGAUCCAGCCAUGCCGCGUGAGUGAAGAAGGUUUUCGGGUUGUAAACCGCUUUUGUAAGGGAAGAAAGCGUGUGGGCGAAGAAAGCGGGCGCAGGACGGGAACGGAAGAAGAAGGACCGGCUAACUACGGG